rnacentral:rRNA from 1 species
UACGGAGGGAGCUAGCGUUGUUCGGAAUUACUGGGCGUAAAGCGCGCGUAGGCGGCUUUGUAAGUUAGAGGUGAAAGCCCGGGGCUCAACCCCGGAACUGCCUUUAAGACUGCAUCGCUUGAAUCCAGGAGAGGUGAGUGGAAUUCCGAGUGUAGAGGUGAAAUUCGUAGAUAUUCGGAAGAACACCAGUGGCGAAGGCGGCUCACUGGACUGGUAUUGACGCUGAUGUGCGAAAGCGUGGGGAGCAAACAGG